CUGCCCUAUACACACGGAUAACAUACCGAAAGGUAUGCUAAUACGGGAUAACAUAAGAGAUUCGCAUGGAUUUCUUAUCAAAGCUGCGGCGGUAUAGGAUGGACCCGCGUCUGAUUAGCUAGUUGGUGAGGUAACGGCUUACCAAGGCGACGAUCAGUAGCCGACCUGAGAGGGUGAUCGGCCACAUUGGAACUGAGACACGGUCCAAACUCCUACGGGAGGCAGCAGUGGGGAAUAUUGCACAAUGGGCGAAAGCCUGAUGCAGCAACGCCGCGUGAGCGAUGAAGGUCUUCGGGUCGUAAAGCUCUGUCCUCAAGGAAGAUAAUGACGGUACUUGAGGAGGAAGCCCCGGCUAACUACGUGCCAGCAGCCGCGGUAAUACGUAGGGGGCUAGCGUUAUCCGGGAUUACUGGGCGUAAAGGGUGCGUAGGUGGUUUCUUAAGUCAGAGGUGAAAGGCUACGGCUCAACCGUAGUAAGCCUUUGAAACUGAGAAACUUGAGUGCAGGAGAGGAGAGUAGAAUUCCUAGUGUAGCGGUGAAAUGCGUAGAUAUUAGGAGGAAUACCAGUUGCGAAGGCGGCUCUCUGGACUGUAACUGACACUGAGGCACGAAAGCGUGGGGAGCAAACAGGAUUAGAUACCCUGGUAGUCCACGCCGUAAACGAUGAGUACUAGCUGUCGGAGGUUACCCCCUUCGGUGGCGCAGCUAACGCAUUAAGUACUCCGCCU
rnacentral:rRNA from 1 species